AACGAACGCUGGCGGCAGGCUUAACACAUGCAAGUCGAGCGAGACCUUCGGGUCUAGCGGCGGACGGGGGAGUAACGCGUGGGAACGUGCCCUUCUCUACGGAAUAGCCCCGGGAAACGGGGAGUAAUACCGUAUACGCUCUUCGGGGGGAAGAUUUAUCGGAGAAGGAUCGGCCCGCGUUGUAUUAGGUAGUUGGGGGGGUAAUGGCCCACCAAGCCGGCGAUCCAUAGCUGGGUUGAGAGGACGGUCAGCCACACUAGGACGGGGACACGGCCCGAAUACCUGCGGAUGGGCGCAGUGGUGAAUCAUAGACACUGGGUGCAACCCUGAGCUAGCCAUGUCGCGUGAGUGAUGAAGGCCUUAGGGUUGUAAAGCUCUUUCAGCUGGGAAGAUAAUGACGGUACCAGCAGAAGAGGCCCCGGCUACCUCCUU
rnacentral:rRNA from 1 species